GACGAUCGCUGGCGGCGUGCCUAAUACAUGCAAGUCGAACGCACAGUUUAUACCGUAGCUUGCUACACCAUCAACUGUGAGUUGCGAACGGGUGAGUAACGCGUAGGUAACCUGCCUGGUAGCUGGGGAUAAAUAUUGGAAACGAUAGCUAAUACCGCAUAAUAUUAAUUAUUGCAUGAUUAUUAAUCGAAAGCUGCAAUUUCAUCACUAGCAGAUGGACCUUCGUUGUAUUAGUUAGUAGGUGAGGUAACGGCUCACCUAGGCGUCGAUACAUAGCCGGACGGAGAGGGGUAGCGGCCAAACGGGUACUGAGACACGGCCCAGACUUCUACGGGAGGCAGCAGUAGGGAAUCUUAGGCAAUGGACGAAAGUCUGACCGAGAAACGCCGCGUGAGUGAAGAAGGUUUUCGGAUCGUAAAGCUCUGUUGUAAGAGAAGAACGGGUGUGAGAGUGGAAAGUUCACACUGUGACGGUAUCUUACCAGAAAGGGACGGCUAACUACGUG
rnacentral:rRNA from 1 species